AAUAUUUGACAAUGGGCGAAAGCCUGAUCCAGCCAUGCAGCGUGUGUGAAGAAGGUCUUCGGAUUGAACAGCACUUUAAGUUGGGAGGAAGGGUUGUAGGUUAAUACCCUGCAAUUUUGACGUUACCAACAGAAUAAGCACCGGCUAACUUCGUGCCAGCAGCCGCGGUAAUACGAAGGGUGCAAGCGUUAAUCGGAAUUACUGGGCGUAAAGCGCGCGUAGGUGGUUCGUUAAGUUGGAAGUGAAAGCCCCGGGGUUAACCUGGGAAUUGCUUUCAAAACUGACGAGCUAGAGUACGGUAGAGGGUAGUGGGAUUUCCUGUGUAGCAGUGAAAUGCGUAGAUAUGUGGAGGAAUACCGAUGGCGAAGGCAGCCCCCUGGGAUAAUACUGACACUGAGGUGCGAAAGCGUGGGGAGCAAACAGG
rnacentral:rRNA from 1 species